GGCCGGAUGGUCUAGAGGUAAGAUUCUCGCUUAGGGUGCGAGAGGUCCCGGGUUCGAUCCCCGGUUCGGCCU
rnacentral:tRNA from 1 species